rnacentral:rRNA from 1 species
UGAGGAAUCUUCCACAAUGGGCGAAAGCCUGAUGGAGCAACGCCGCGUGCAGGAUGAAGGCCUUCGGGUCGUAAACUGCUUUUAUAAGUGAAGAAUAUGACGGUAACUUAUGAAUAAGCACCGGCUAACUACGUGCCAGCAGCCGCGGUCAUACGUAGGGUGCAAGCAUUAUCCGGAGUGACUGGGCGUAAAGAGUUGCGUAGGUGGUCAAGUUAGUGAAUAGUGAAAUCUGGUGGCUCAACCACACAGACUAUUAUUCAAACUGCUUGACUCGAGAGUAGCAGAGGUAACUGGAAUUUCUAGUGUAGGAGUGAAAUCCGUAGAUAUUAGAAGGAACACCAAUGGCGUAGGCAGGUUACUAGGCUAUUUCUGACACUGAGGCACGAAAGCGUGGGGAGCGAACG